CCCAGGCUGGAGUGCAGGGGUGCAACCUCGGCUCCCGCAACCUCUGCCUUCCGGGUUCAAGUGAUUCUCCUGCCUCAGCUUCCUGAGUAGCUGGGAUUACAGGUGCCUGCCACCACACCCGGCUACUUUUUGUAUUUUUAGUAGAGAUGGGGUUUCAUCAUGUUGGCCAGCCUGGUCUCGAACUCCUGAACUCAGAUGAUUCACCUGCCUCGGCCUCCCAAAGUACUGGGAUUACAGGCAUGAGGCACCGUGCCCGGCUGCUUUUUUCUUUCUUUCUUUCUUUCUUUCUUUCUUUUUUUUUUGCUGGGAACCCUUUCUCCAUAAAUCCCUUGCACAGGGAUCUCUGACUCAGGUUCUGCUUCUAUAUGGCUGACGACAACACGUCAUCUGCUUUCUUUCUUUAUAAAAUCAUGGGAUGUAAAGGGUCCCUCCAUGCAGGAGUCUGGCUUCCUCCUGGGUAGGAGUCUACUCCAUUUUUGAAGCUUUCCAAGCAGCAUCCCCCUUCUCCACGUGACUGUGGACAACUAUGUUACCAUGUGCGCAGGAGGGCUCCAGAGAGCAGGUGAGUACGGAUGCUGCGAUCCCAGCAUCCCAAGUAGCUCUGUCCAUGUCAUGGCUGCAGGGCGACAUCAACGGGAAAACCACAGGCUCAGCAGGCCAAAGUCUGAAUCCCACCUGUAUUUGUUUUCCAGGCUUCACGAAUUGCCCCGAAAGCUCUUAGGUGAGGGCCACAGGUAGGCCUUCCUCUUUUAGGAAACCUAAUAUUGUAUAAAUCAGUGUAGCCUGGCCGGCGGUUCAUCCCAUGGCAGCAGCUAGCAACAGACAGGCGGUGUCCAGGACACUCACCAUAUGUUAAAAAGCAACAGCCUGGGUAAUCAUAGGCACAGAGUAAAGAUUUUUUUAAAAUUUAAAAUCAAUAAGAAUUUUAUAAUUAAAAAAAAAAAAAGUGGCCGGGCACCAGUGGCUCAUGCCUGUAAUCCCAGCGCUUUGGGCUGCCGAGACGGGUGGAUCACCUGAGGUCAGGAGUUCGAGACCAGCCUGGUCACCAUGGUGAAACCCCAUUUCUACUGAAAAUACAAAAAUUAGCUGGGUUUGGUGGCGGGUGCCUGUAACCUCCACUCACUGCAACCUCCGCCUCCUGGGCUCA
rnacentral:lncRNA from 1 species